UGGGGAAUAUUGCACAAUGGGGGAAACCCUGAUGCAGCGACGCCGCGUGAGCGAAGAAGUAUUUCGGUAUGUAAAGCUCUAUCAGCAGGGAAGAAAAAAAUGACGGUACCUGACUAAGAAGCACCGGCUAAAUACGUGCC
rnacentral:rRNA from 1 species